rnacentral:rRNA from 1 species
ACGCACGCUGGCGGCGUGCCUAAUACAUGCCAGUUGAGCGAUGAAGAUUGGUGCUUGCACCAAUUUGAAGAGCAGCGAACGGGUGAGUAACGCGUGGGGAAUCUGCCUUUGAGCGGGGGACAACAUUUGGAAACGAAUGCUAAUACCGCAUAAUAACUUUAAACAUAAGUUUUAAGUUUGAAAGAUGCAAUUGCAUCACUCAAAGAUGAUCCCGCGUUGUAUUAGCUAGUUGGUGAGGUAAAGGCUCACCAAGGCGAUGAUACAUAGCCGACCUGAGAGGGUGAUCGGCCACAUUGGGACUGAGACACGGCCCAAACUCCUACGGGAGGCAGCAGUAGGGAAUCUUCGGCAAUAGACGAAAGUCUGACCGAGCAACGCCGCGUGAGUGAAGAAGGUUUUCGGAUCGUAAAACUCUGUUGGUAGAGAAGAACGUUGGUGAGAGUGGAAAGCUCAUCAAGUGACGGUAACUACCCAGAAAGGGACGGCUAACUACGUG